AACGAACGCUGGCGGCAGGCCUAAAACAUGCAAGUCGAGCGGGCAUAGCAAUAUGUCAGCGGCGGACGGGUGAAUAACACGUGGGAACAUGCCCUUUGGUACGGAACAACUCAGGGAAACUUGAGCUAAUACCGUAUGUGCCGGUAACGGGAAAGAUUUAUCGCCAAAGGAUUGGCCCGCGUCCGAUUAGCUAGUUGGUGAGGUAACGGCUCACCAAGGCGACGAUCGGUAGCUGGUUUGAGAGAACGAUCAGCCACACUGGGACUGAGACACGGCCCAGACUCCUACGGGAGGCAGCAGUUGGGAAUCUUGGACAAUGGGGGAAACCCGUACNUCCACGCACUGCCGGCCGUGAGCGAUGAAGG
rnacentral:rRNA from 1 species